rnacentral:piRNA from 1 species
UCUUUAGAAGGAGCCAUGUGCCUGGCAAAUC